CCUACGGGAGGCAGCAGUGGGGGAUAUUGCACAAUGGGGGGAACCCUGAUGCAGCGACGCCGCGUGGGGGAAGAAGCGCCUCGGCGCGUAAAGCCCUGUCAGCAGGGAAGAAAAUGACGGUACCUGAAGAAGAAGCACCGGCUAACUACGUGCCAGCAGCCGCGGUAAUACGUAGGGGGCAAGCGUUAUCCGGAUUCACUGGGCGUAAAGGGCGCGCAGGCGGCGAAGCAAGCCAGGAGUGAAAGCCCAGGGCCCAACCCCGGGACUGCACUUGACACUGCGUGGCUGGAGUGCAGGAGGGGCAGGCGGAAUUCCUGGUGUAGCGGUGAAAUGCGUAGAUAUCAGGAGGAACACUGGUGGCGAAGGCGGCCUGCUGGACUGCAACUGACGUUGAGGCCCGAAAGCGUGGGGAGCAAACAGGAUUAGAUACCCCUGUAGUC
rnacentral:rRNA from 1 species